GACUGAGCCACCUAGGUACCCCUUA
rnacentral:miRNA from 1 species